rnacentral:rRNA from 1 species
GGGGAAUAUUGCACAAUGGGGGAAACCCUGAUGCAGCAACGCCGCGUGAGUGAUGACGGCCUUUGGGUUGUAAAGCUCUGUCUUCAGGGACGAUAAUGACGGUACCUGAGGAGGAAGCCACGGCUAACUACGUGCCAGCAGCCGCGGUAAUACGUAGGUGGCAAGCGUUGUCCGGAUUUACUGGGCGUAAAGGGAGCGUAGGCGGACUUUUAAGUGGGAUGUGAAAUACCCGGGCUUAACCUGGGUGCUGCAUUCCAAACUGGGAGUCUAGCGUGCAGGAGGGGAAAGUGGAAUUCCUAGUGUAGCGGUGAAAUGCGUAGAGAUUAGGAAGAACACCAGUGGCGAAGGCGACUUUCUGGACUGUGACUGACGCUGAGGCUCGAAAGCGUGGGGAGCGAAC